CCUACGGGUGGCAGCAGUGAGGAAUAUUGGUCAAUGGACGAGAGUCUGAACCAGCCAAGUAGCGUGAAGGAUGACUGCCCUAUGGGUUGUAAACUUCUUUUAUAUGGGAAUAAAAUGUUCCACGUGUGGGAUUUUGUAUGUACCAUAUGAAUAAGGAUCGGCUAACUCCGUGCCAGCAGCCGCGGUAAUACGGAGGAGCCGAGCGUUAUCCGGAUUUAUUGGGUUUAAAGGGAGCGUAGGUGGAUUGUUAAGUCAGUUGUGAAAGUUUGCGGCUCAACCGUAGAAUUGCAGUUGAAACUGGCAGUCUUGAGUACAGUAGAGGUGAGCGGAAUUCGUGGUGUAGCGGUGAAAUGCUUAGAUAUCACGAAGAACUCCGAUUGCGAAGGCAGUUCACUGGACUGCAACUGACGCUGAGGCUCGAAAGUGUGGGUAUCAAACAGGAUUAGAUACCCCUGUAGUC
rnacentral:rRNA from 1 species